rnacentral:rRNA from 1 species
GACGAACGCUGGCGGCGUGCUUAACACAUGCAAGUCGAACGAUGAAACCUAGCUUGCUAGGUCGAUUAGUGGCGAACGGGUGAGUAACACGUGACUAACCUGCCCCUUUCUCUGGGAUAACGCUCCGAAAGGAGUGCUAAUACCGGAUACUCACACCGAGGCACAUGCCUUGGUGUGGACAGGUUUUCGGAAAGGGAUGGAGUCGCGGCCUAUCAGCUUGUUGGUGAGGAAACGGCUCACCAAGGCGACGACGGGUAGCCGGCCUGGGAGGGCGACCGGCCACACUGGGACUGAGACACGGCCCAGACUCCUACGGGAGGCAGCAGUGGGGAAUAUUGCACAAUGGGCGCAAGCCUGAUGCAGCGACGCCGCGUGAGGGAUGAAGGUCUUCUGAUUGUAAACCUCUUUCAGUAGGGACGAAGCGAAAGUGACGGUACCUAAAGAAGAAGCACCGGCUAACUACGUGCCAGCAGCCGCGGUAA